UAGGGGAUAUUAGAAAUGGACGAAAGUCUGAUCUAGCAACGCCGCGUGUGCGAAGAAGGCCUUCGGGUCGUAAAGCACUUUUUGGAAGGAAUAGGAAGGAAUGUACUUCCAGAAUAAGUCUCGGCUAACUACGUGCCAGCAGCCGCGGUAACACGUAGGAGGCGAACGUUAUCCGGAUUUACUGGGCGUAAAGCGCGUGUAGGUGGUACUGUAAGUAGGGCGUGAAAGCUCCCGGCUCAACUGGGAGAGGCCGUUCUAAACUACAGAACUAGAGGAUGGUAGAGGGAGGUGGAAUUCCAGGUGUAGCGGUGGAAUGCGCAGAUAUCUGGAGGAACACCGGUGGCGAAGGCGGCCUCCUGGACCAUUCCUGACACUCAGACGCGAAAGCUAGGGUAGCAAACGG
rnacentral:rRNA from 1 species